rnacentral:rRNA from 1 species
UACGUAGGGGGCAAGCGUUGUCCGGAUUUAUUGGGCGUAAAGAGCGUGUAGGCGGCCAUACAGGUCCGUUGUGAAAACUCGAGGCUUAACCUCGAGACGUCGAUGGAAACCGUAUGGCUAGAGUCCGGAAGAGGAGAGUGGAAUUCCUGGUGUAGCGGUGAAAUGCGCAGAUAUCAGGAGGAACACCGGUGGCGAAGGCGGGUCUCUGGGCCGAAACUGACGCUGAGGAGCGAAAGCGUGGGGAGCGAACAGG